rnacentral:lncRNA from 1 species
AUUUUGUCAUACACAUUGCAAGAAUAUCCUGCUCGAGAUUCAUCAAACCAGAGAACAUGUCAUGACCUGCCCAAAGAAGUGCCUGAAGAGACAAGGGAAAACGUGGCAUCCCCCCCCACCUCUUUGUUUGUUGCCCCCGGUACUCUUUGUUUAACGAAGACUUUGAAGAAAAUCACCAAAUCACCGUAUCAGUACGACAAGAAGAGUACUGAGGACAUCUUGGAAACAACAGGAUGGGUACUGACUGACACCAGAUAACAAACAGAACACCUUGGAUAAGAUUGUGAACCUGGAGUACCCAGCCAAUAGGGUAACAGGGGAGGGGGAUAAGCAAGGGAGGAAACAAGGUACAAAAGCUGUCACAGAGACCUUAGGGGUGCUCCUGCUUGUGGGACGCCCGCCAUUGCAAUAGCGAAUAAAAUCUGCUUUUAUAAGAGAUACCGACCUGACAAAAUUAUUUGGAUAUUUCCAACAAUCGGGGGGCUCGUCUGGGAUUAUUAUCGCCUCCUUGGGGCUCCCCCUACUGCUCUGGACAGGAUAGGUGCAUCCCGCUGAUUUUUGCGGUCCUAUCUGGGUGGUGAGGUGACUCCUUGAAAUAGCCGAUAGGAAACCGAGACUGUUACGUAAAGGACGGGCUCUGUGAAAGCCAAGGGGCAGAAUUGGCAUAUGCCGGUUAAUGGAUGCAAGAAGUAAAACAGUUCCUCACAAGAAGGAGUCGAAGUUCAAAAGAAAAAGAAAGAAGCAGAAAGAUCGUAAAUGCGAUCCCGCAGAACUGCUGGUACUGCUCCAGCUACCCCAGCUCCCACGACUGGCACGAACACUUCCUGAUGAACUUCCACAAUCUGAGCUUGAAUCAGAGCAAAACUUCUCCAAACAAUUCUUUUUGGACCACUGAUAAAAGCUUUCUAAAGAAAUAAUAAAUAAAAUAAAAGUUACCUGAAAUAUGUAUUUACAGUAAUUCUCUACAUUUCCUGAUAGGAGAAAGUAGUAACUACUGAAAUUCUCAUCAAGAUGAACAUGCCAGCCCCUACCAUGAGAAGCUUACCGCCUAAAAGACACCUCCAGUGCAAUGAACACAAGUGAGGAUACAGCACAGUUAGUGGUACACACAGCUCUUAGAAAACAAGCAGGAAUGAUGGCCCUGGCACUGCGCUGACCAGCUCUGAGAAGGAAGUGGUGCCUGCUCCUCUUACCAGCCCUGUCGUCUUCGUGACAGGAUUUGAUGACAAGAGGAACAAGGAGGUCUCAGGAGAUGAGUACGGUUCUAUUCCCAAGAAAACAUUUUAUGCUUCUUCUCCAGUUUAAGACAGUUCAGACUGCAUACCUGUUUCUCCCUGUAUAGACAAGCUCCCAGGUUUUUGGUCUGCUUUACAAUUUUCCCCAUCACCCUGAGGACGCCAGGCUCUUAUUCCAAUAUUCUCUCUCAGGUCCAGUCUUUCAUAUUCAUUGCACAGAUACUUCAACUCACUCUGCUCGGAGACCCUAAUACAACCACAGCCAAAGAAACACAUAUAUAUAUAUCAUUAUUUUUUCCUUUUAAGGUCCCAACUUAACAUCCCAACUCAAAAGGCUGUCAAGACAGAAUGUGAGGUGAGGAAUAGGUUGAUGAGUAUUCUUCCUCAGUUUUACCUAAAAACUCUCUGUUAAUGCUUUCCCAAAAUGCAAUAUUCCAUCAGACAGACUGUUACUUCUUAAGGGGAGCAAGACAAUGCAUGCAAGUUCAAUUCCAUUCUCUAAUGAAGAAGGCAUUUAUAUGUUCUAGCAAGAAGCACAAUCUAGCAUUGUAUGGAGAUCUAGGUUGACUGGAAAAUGUGCCCUACUUCUAUUUCACUGACAUAAUUGUAACUAGAAUAAUCUGGUUAUGAAAUCUGAAGAAAUUUCAAGGUUUUCCUAAUCAAACUGAAAUAUAUGGAGCCAAUAUAGUAAUCAGAGUACUAAGGGAAAAGGAAUAAAACUCAGCUGUCAAGUUUCUACAAGAAGGAUACAGCCACAUCUUAGCUGUAGAAAUGAGAAAACUUUGAAUCAGUUUGUGGAAUAGACAUCAAAUUUCAGUACUUCCAUUGUGCCUUUUACAUACACUGACUUCCCACAAUGAUAUUAGUUUGUUUAUAAUAAGUAACAACAACUCCUUCAAAUUUACAAUUUCCUUAAGUCCACUGAUCUCAACAGGAUCAUUCACAUUAAAAAGUAAGUCCAUGAAGGCUCUGUACAAUUGUGACCUUAAUUCAAAGGACUGGUAAAGAACAAAAAUUUUCUCCUAGUAAGUAUUUCUGUUCUAGCAGUUAUUUAAAAUUUGUAUUUUGUUUUUAUUAACAAGCAACAUAGCAUAAACACUAGAAAUAUGAAAAAAAUAUUUAAUGGAGUAAUUCACAGUUGACCUCAGAAAUGUAUUUAAAUGAAUCUCAGGGGAAAAAACAAGUAACUUCCCAAGGUAAUCGCACUAUUUCAACCUAGAGCUGCUCUGUCCUAUUGUCAACACUUGUCACUGAAGCUUCACUGAUAUUACUUAUCAGCUCCUCUGAGGUAGAUAACUUUUUAAUCAUUAUGGCAAAAAUGCAAUUAUCUGUCUCUUUUCUUUCUUCUUCAAAACCAUCAGACAACAAUAUCACCCCUAAGUUACACUAUACAGCAGAUAAUUCUCCCAGUGGUGGAAUAAUUUGAAGAACUUUGUCUUCCUUUUUCACAGAAAAAAAAUAUGACUGGAUCUUACCCACACAAUACAAUAACGGAACGUUAACCAUCCAAAUCUCAGAGGCAGCAAAUCUCAUGGCAUAGCAGAGAGCAAGCACUGCUAUGCAGUAGACUGAGUCUAUUCAUAUGCAGGUUUACAAAUGGAUAAAUAUUUCUUUUGCUGGCAAUAUUUUGUACUGUGUAUUCUCAACAAUAAAGACCCAGGCCAGGACUACUGAGUGUUUGUUUAAAGAGAUAAAGCAAUCUGUCUAGCGUACUAUGCAAAACUCAACAAAACCCUGAGGAAAUAUUACUGCAAUUCUAGAUUUUUUCAUGACUUGGUGAGGCAACACAUACCUUGUAGAUAUGUUAACAUUCUUUUUCUUAUUUUUCCGAGAUGUUCUAUUUCUAUUCCAAUUCAUAUUUGGGACAUUUCCUUCCUUCUUCUCUUGAGGUUUCUUCU